rnacentral:tRNA from 3 species
UCCCCUGUAGCUCAAUUGGCAGAGCGUCGGACUGUUAAUCCGUAGGUUCCUGGUUCGAGUCCAGGCGGGGGAG